rnacentral:sRNA from 1 species
ACCGAUUCGAUUGGCUCGUACUCGGGCCGUA